rnacentral:lncRNA from 1 species
CUGUUACACAAUGUUCGAGAUGAAUAUAGCCUGAUUUCUCUGAAUGCCGUGGAGCAAGCUUUCAGAAGCAGGAAAAUAAGCAGCUGUGUUUUCUUGUACCAGGAACCUAAAAAUAAAAACCCACUCCAGGACUGCACACUAGGUGUGUGAUCGACGAAGAUGGAGGCUUCCAGCUCCUGUCUCUUCUGCCGGCUGCACUGCUGGCUGCCAGCUUCUCUCUUGGUGGUGGCUCCGAGAGCCAGGACAGACAGAAUCUAGAGUCCUGAUACCUCAACUGUUUAACAGGUGAAUACAGAAAGGCAUAGCCCUGCCCAUUGGAUUUAGGGUGAGAGGGAGGCUUCUCAGUUCAGACUCUAGAAAAAGCACCACUGAAAUAGUGGGAUUUCCACACACCAGCCUAUCCCCUAAGGAAAAUCAAAGCAAAGCACAAGGAGUAAAGUGCCUUCUGGAGCCCAAAAGUGUGCAUGAAGUUCCCUGCUGGAAAGGUGACUUAAGGGAUCUCUAUGUGUCCAAAAAUAAUGACCUGAAGGACUAUAUGUUGGCAUUUUUCUGCUAUGUUCACUGA